rnacentral:rRNA from 1 species
ACGCUCGACACCUACAGGAGGCAGCAGUGGGGAAUAUUGCACAAUGGGGGAAACCCUGAUGCAGCGACGCCGCGUGAGCGAAGAAGUAUUUCGGUAUGUAAUGCUCUAUCAGCAGGGAAGAAACUGACGGUACCUGACUAAGAAGCACCGGCUAAAUACGUACCAGCAGCCGCGGUAAUCUGAGCGGGCUGGCAAGGC